UGUUAAUGCAUGUUAGAGACAUAGUAUAAUGGACUAUGCUCAAUGAAACAUACCACACACAAAAAGAAUAUGCAAAAGGUGUGGCCUAAUCACAUCCAUACUCAUGUCAAUUUUUAAAUUAACUAGCCUUAGGAUUAUGAGAUAUCAUAGGCCAAAUGGAAUGAAUGAAUGAAGAAAGGGAAUAAGAUGAAGUGGGAGGGGAACGGAUGAAAU
rnacentral:lncRNA from 1 species